UCCCUGGUGGUGUAAUGGUAGCACAGAUGAUUUUGGUUCAUCUAGUCGGGGUUCGAAUCCCUGCCGGGGAA
rnacentral:tRNA from 3 species